rnacentral:rRNA from 1 species
CCUACGGGAGGCAGCAGCAAGGAAUUUUGCACAAUCGACGCAAGUCGGAUGCAGCAACGCCGCGUGGGGGAUGAAGGCUCUCGGGUUGUAAACCCCUUUUGCGAGGGAAGAAGAUCUGACGGUACCUCGCGAAUAAGUCACGGCUAACUACGUGCCAGCAGCCGCGGUAAUACGUAGGUGGCGAACGUUGUCCGGAUUCACUGGGCGUAAAGCGCGCGCAGGCGGACUGAUAAGUCAGAGGUGAAAUCUCCCGGCUCAACUGGGAGGGGCCCUUUGAUACUGUCAGUCUUGAGGCACCUAGAGGAGAGUGGAAUUCCCGGUGUAGUGGUGGAAUGCGUAGAUAUCGGGAGGAACACCAGUGGCGAAAGCGACUCUCUGGGGGUGACCUGACGCUGAGGCGCGAAAGCGUGGGGAGCAAACGGGGAUUAGAUACCCCGGUAGUCCACGCCGUAAACGAUGAGUACUAGCUGUCUGGGGUAUCGACUCCCUGGGUAGCGAAGCUAACGCGAUAAGUACUCCGCCUGGGGACUACGACCGCAAGGUUAAAACUCAAAGGAAUUGACGG